rnacentral:rRNA from 1 species
UACGUAGGGUGCAAGCGUUGUCCGGAAUUAUUGGGCGUAAAGAGCUCGUAGGCGGUUUGUCGCGUCUGCUGUGAAAACUGGGGGCUCAACCCCCAGCCUGCAGUGGGUACGGGCAGACUAGAGUGCGGUAGGGGAGAUUGGAAUUCCUGGUGUAGCGGUGGAAUGCGCAGAUAUCAGGAGGAACACCGAUGGCGAAGGCAGAUCUCUGGGCCGUAACUGACGCUGAGACACGAAAGCGUAGGUAGCGAAUGGG